CCCCGCCCCGCGCAGGUGUGGCGUCCCCCCAGACCAGCCUCGCCGACCCUACCGCCCGGCCCGCGGCGCUACCCCGGCGUCACUCAGGCCUGCGCCGUCUACCUGGGAAGGGACGGGGCCUGUCGGGGGCUUGACGGUGGCGCGGAAGGCCAGCUGCCGAGAGGCCGAGCAGAGCGCCCCAAGCCCGGCACCCUGGCUGGCCCGGCCCCGCCACGUCCAAGGUUCCCGCCCCCCGGAGGAAGCCGCGCGAGCACUCUGGGGGCGGGGAGAGAAAGACUGCUGAAGGGAAGGAGGUGCCACCAGGCACUCUCUCGCGAGAGGGCCGAAGAGCCGUUUCGGCGGGGGCGUGUGCCUGCUGAAGACGUGUAAGGUCUCCGGAAGCUUCGGCGUCACGUUCGGCGCUCUCACCGACGUAUCGGUGGGGCUUCCCCGGAGCUGGAGAACAUGGCCUGGAAAAUCCUCAUUGUUUACCUGUGACAUUAUUUCCGUGAAGAGUAAUCAUCCCAGAAGCUAUUAGAGGUCCUUGGAAUAUAUUCAUCUGACCUAUUCUACCUAUCCCAUUUAAAGGAUAGCAUCUGAAGAUUUAAUAACAAAAAGCAGUUGAAGCAUUUCAAGCUGGAUAAUCAGGAAAAGGAUGAAAGAAAAUCCAUCUACUGUACAUGGAAGCUAAGAGGAAAAUAUCUUAUAUAAUUCUCAUUCAAGGAGAAAAUCACAGUUGCUGAUUUACAAAGUAUUUAGAAUUUAAUGACAAUGAGAACAAUAAAAUUGAAACAUAAGGAUUCAGCUGAAGUAAUAUAUAAAGGAAAAUCACAGAUCAAUAUUUUAAUA